rnacentral:rRNA from 1 species
GACGAACGCUGGCGGCGUGCUUAACACAUGCAAGUCGAACGGAAAGGCCCUGCUUUUGUGGGGUGCUCGAGUGGCGAACGGGUGAGUAACACGUGAGUAACCUGCCCUUGACUGUGGGAUAAGUUAAGGAAACUGGGGCUAAUACCGGAUAGGAGCUCCUGGUGCAUGGUGGGGGUUGGAAAGUUUCGGCGGUUGGGGAUGGACUCGCGGCGGAUCAGCUUGUUGGUGGGGUAGUGGCUUACCAAGGCUUUGACGGGUAGCCGGCCUGAGAGGGUGACCGGCCACAUUGGGACUGAGAUACGUCCCAGACUCCUACGGGAGGCAGCAGUGGGGAAUAUUGCACAAUGGGCGGAAGCCUGAUGCAGCAACGCCGCGUGCGGGAUGACGGCCUUCGGGUUGUAAACCGCUUUCGCCUGUGACGAAGCGUGAGUGACGGUAAUGGGUAAACAAGCACCGGCUAACUACGUG